AAUUGUGGUAGUUCUUUUCAUCCUGAAUGCCUUCACAUAAAGAAUGAAAACUUUCUGUCGAAUCAAACAACAACAAAAAAAGAAGGAAUUACAAAUGUGUCCUGCUGCUGGUUGAUAUGGUUACAGAUGGAAAAUCGUGGUAGUUCUUUUUCAUGAAUUUAACAAAUAAGAAAACCAAGACAAAAACAAAAAUCUGGAUUUUUGCUUUUUCUCAGAAAAAUAGCAAAAGAAAAUAAAAAAUCUGAUUUAUGGUCCAUUAAUUAUAAAUCGGUUAACCGACCGAUUUAUGGGCGAUUAACCGAUCCGUCUCUAAAAAGACACGGGCAGUAGAUCACCUCAGCCUGCUGUCAUCGGCUCCCUCUGUUCUCUGAAAUGAAGCUGUGGAACAUCCCUGCUGUUUCUGGGAACAGUUCUGACUUCCAGUCUGUGACUCACAUCUCCUCGGCAGGCUACAGCUCGGCGGAUUUACUGCGGAUUCAAACCGUUGCCGUUCCGCUGACGCUGCCGUGGAGCCUCCAGGCUUCAGGCGGACUCCUCAUGGUCCAGUUCCGCUCGGCACUUCUCUGGGUUCGGUCUGUACUGUCAGUCCCGGAGAGAGAAGUUACUGGGUCCACCUCAGAGAGCCAGCAGGGAGGCCUGGGCUGAUCACACUGGAAACCCCCUCCACUGCUUCCGCUCAGGAAAUCCCCCAGUUGCCCGACGAGGAGCAUACCGUCAGGGGGCGCAGCUUUCCCGGAGGCUCCAGGGAGAGACAAGACUGCACCACAGGGGGCGCUGUUUCUCCCUUUCAAAUCGAAACACUUCUUGUUCGAGACUGUGCAGCGCAGGUCCAUCUCCGAGUCGCUGGAAGGAUGCUCGUUCCCAUUCUCCACCUCUUCAUCACUGCGCAGACAGAGCUAGUUAUCACUCGGGCCGGGUCGGCGCCGCCAGCGGGCGGCGCGGCCAUGUUGUCUCCUCACCUGUCGCCAUGCUCCCGCUUCUGUUUCCGGGUCUGUCGGUCCAUCAUGCUGGUUUUACUACGACUUUUCUUCCAGGAGUAGUAAAAACGCACCAGACUGGCCAUGGACUUAUCAGGCAGCUACAAAAACACAGUCACUCAUAGAUCAAUGCAAUACCGGCGAGGGGAAAAGCUGCCGAGACACAGACUGAAAAUAGUCAGAUAUACAGAUGUUGACCGCCUGCGUGUUCAGUUAAGUUAGAAUGUUAUGCAUCAAUUUUUCAGGUAUGAUCAACAAAAAUGUUUUGGUGUCCAAAUGAUUUGAGAUCUGCUGCCGAUAUCUGAAGGUUUCCAAAGACUUCCUUUAGCAUCUUGCAGUCUGCUUUAAGAGUAAACCAGUGUGGACAUGUUGGUACUUAUCUUCAUCACUUCCCUCCAUUUGCAGACUGUUUCCCAAACAACUGAUGUCAGAUUCUUUAAAGAAAUCCAAAAACACCCUCAGAAGAAUUAGAAUCACAGCAUAGCACAAACACUUUGCUUUUAUAGCAGCGUCAAAACAAAAAGAGCAAAAAUAUCAACUUUAGAGCGCCGGUGCCAAACCCACUUUCAUUUUGGGACACAUCAAAAUCAUCAAUGUUCUUAAAGGGCCACUUGCUACUUAAUAUAUUGACAAAGCCCAUUAAGAAACUGGCAAUAUCUUAAUAAAUAACUGUCUGUAUAAAAUGAUGCUUCUUGAGAUUUUUAUUGCUAAAAUCUUUUCACAUUUUCACAUGACUGAGGCAGUAAGUUAUACUGCCACCUGCAGGUAAAUGUUAGUAUAACCUAACCCCAAUGUUUUGAACCAUUUUUUGCAGUCAAAUGAUGCAUUAUAAACUGUAUCAAUGUGCUCUGGUUUUCUUUUCCUUGUAACUGUUCAGAACCUUGUUUGAAAAAACUUUAUAUAAAGUUAUUAGUGUUAGCAGCAUGCAAGAGUCUUUGGAUUUGUUUAGUUUUGCAUAAAUUUCGGCGAUUGCAGAAUCACAGAAACUGGAGCGACUGACUGACACGAUGCCGCAGCAUAGAGAUAAAAACUGAUUUGAUUUAAGUCAAGAAAUAACAUUUUAACACACAAAUGGUAUCUUGAAACUUCUAUUUAUGCAUCCGUCUGUAGUCUUGAACAUGAAGAGGCCGGAUUGGGGCCUUCGGUUUGAUGUGUGUGCUUUAGAGGAAUAAUACGAGGACAAAAGAUCAAUGUCUGCAUGUAUUUUGCAACACGUGCAUUUAUUUCCUAAGAGGAAACCAUCAUAAAUGACCACUUCCAAAAUUA